CACGUAGUUAGCCGUGGCUUUCUGAUUAGGUACCGUCAAGACGUGCAUAGUUACUUACACAUUUGUUCUUCCCUAAUAACAGAGUUUUACGAUCCGAAGACCUUCAUCACUCACGCGGCGUUGCUCCGUCAGGCUUUCGCCCAUUGCGGAAGAUUCCCUAUUGCUGCCUCCCGUAAGAGUCUGGACCGUGUCUCAGUUCCAGUGUGGCCGAUCACCCUCUCAGGUCGGCUACGCAUCGUUGCCUUGGUAAGCCGUUACCUUACCAACUAGCUAAUGCGGCGCGGAUCCAUCUAUAAGUGACAGCAAGACCGUCUUUCACUGUUGAACCAUGUCGGUUACAACAUUGUUAUUCCGGUAUUAGCUUCCGGUUCCCGUAAGUUACUCCCAGUCUUUAGUAGGUUAGGUUACUCCACGUUGUUACUCCACCCGUCCGCCGCUAACGUCAAGGAGGAGCAAG
rnacentral:rRNA from 1 species